AUAGGCGAAAGCCUGACAGGGUUACUCUGAGUGAUGCCCGCUAAGGGUAUCUUUUGACACCUCUAAAAAUGGUGUAGAAUAAGGGGUGGGCAAGUCUGGUGUCAGCCGCCGCGGUAAUACCAGCACCCCGAGUGGUCGGGACGAUUAUUGGGCCUAAAGCAUCCGUAGCCGGUUCCGCAAGUCUUCCGUUAAAUCCACCUGCUCAACAGAUGGGCCGCGGAGGAUACCGCGGAGCUAGGAGGCGGGAGAGGCAAACGGUACUCAGUGGGUAGGGGUAAAAUCCAUUGAUCCACUGAAGACCACCAGUGGCGAAGGCGGUUUGCCAGAACGCGCUCGACGGUGAGGGAUGAAAGCUGGGGGAGCAAACCGGAUUAGAUACCCGUGUAGUCC
rnacentral:rRNA from 1 species